rnacentral:lncRNA from 1 species
AGAUGGAAAUGGCCAACACCCGCGCUAUGUUAAUCUGCUUCUUUAUUGGACAACCCACUGACGACAUAACCCCGCCAAACUCGAACAUGAACAAAACCUCCACUGCAUCUAUUUGAGCACCUUGAUCAGAGAGAGAUUCAAUCUGGCAUGGCUUCAUCAUUAACAAGUGUAAGUGUGUCCCUUGUCCCGAUGGCUACUACUGGUACAAGCUUAAUGGCCGUCCUAAGUGUGACUUCUGUACUGAAGCCUGCUCAGUUGAUCGGCACUUGACACAGGUGAAGGAAUGCCGCCGGGACUCAAACCGGGAGUGCCACUGUGACAGGGGCUUUUUCUGUGCCAGCACUGCCCAGUAUACCUGCAGGAGGUGUAAACCGUGCGUGUCUGGCACCUUCUCCAACACAGCAAACCUAGCCACGUCCUGCAAACCCCACACAGUGUGAGUCCACAGCUACAGAACACUGGUACCGAGCACCACAUGCACUGUACUGAUUCACAUGUUGUCUACCUAUAAAUAUCUCAAAUAUGAUGCUGUAGCUCCUUCUACUGGAUUUGAGUAAUUUGAAACUAACAAUUGUACCCAAGGCCUACUUUUACAGUAAAUGAAAUUAUUAUUAGUACUAGUAGUAUCGAACACUGUACUUUCUCAUUUAGAUAAACACGUUAUCU